UUUGCUUUGUGUUUUCUCAUACAAGGAAGUGAUGGGGGUAGGAGGAGCUAGGCUAAAGAGUUUAUGUUUUAGCUUAUAUGGAAUAAAGAGUCACUGAAGAUUUGUGAGCAGAGAGAGAUGUAAUCAUGUUCAUACAAUUGUGAUGCAUCCAUGUCUACUCAUCUUAUGUGACUCUUGUCCAUGUACUCCUAUGAAACCACCACAGGGGAUACAUACUGUUAGAAGUCUUCCUUACUUUCUCCUGACAUUGAUGGUGUACCAGUGGAGCACUCUGACUGUUCACCUGUCAUCUCUGUCUUGCCAUGUGACCAGUACAUCUUCACUUUCUAUGAGUAUGGUUCUGGAGGAGUACAGAUGGAAAGACAGGCAUUAUAAAAACAAAAGAUCAGUUGAAGAAUGGAUGAGCAAAUUAUGGUAUUUGAUUAUAAUGCGACAGUAUUGUAUUAUAAGAAAUGUUGAAAAGAAUGGUUUUGGAGAAACAAAGAAAAGACUCAUGCAGAAUAAAGGGAGUAGAA